CGUCCACACAACCGAAGUCGGCAGUCUAGGUUUCAUUAAGAGCACGUGGUUAAAACCAAGUAGAGCCAGCGGUAGGUCUCGUUAUCGGCCUUUUAACCCUUGCAUCAGCUAGUUUGUUCGUUACGUGAAAUCAUUCCCGAAUUUACCGAGCAUUUAUUUGAGGAUCAUUAUUUUAGUUUAGUUAUUGAAACUAUUAAUUGCCGUGAAAUCUAUAUAGACAAUGGCGCAAAGUAAGCUCAACGAACUGGCUGGCAAGUUUGGAAAAGGUCCGAAUGGUUUAGCGCCGGGAUUGAAAUUUCUUGCUGUUGCCGGCGCUGCCAUGUAUGGAGUCUCACAGUCUAUGUAUACUGUCGAAGGUGGGCAUCGGGCGAUCAUAUUUUCACGCCUCGGAGGUAUCCAGAAAGACAUCAUGACUGAGGGACUCCACUUCCGAAUGCCGUGGUUCCAGUAUCCCAUUAUAUACGACAUCAGAAGCAAACCCAGGAAAAUUUCUUCGCCGACUGGAUCAAAGGAUCUUCAAAUGGUCAACAUUUCCCUUAGAGUCUUAUCUCGCCCCGAUGCAUUUAAUUUACCUGUCAUGUAUAGGCAACUAGGUCUUGACUAUGAUGAAAAGGUUCUGCCUAGCAUUUGUAAUGAAGUACUAAAAUCCGUGGUGGCCAAAUUCAAUGCAUCUCAGUUGAUAACGCAGCGACAACAAGUAUCUAUGAUGAUUCGCAGAGAGCUAACUGAGCGUGCAAAAGAUUUCAACAUUGUUUUGGAUGAUGUGUCAAUAACAGAGUUGAGUUUCGGUAAGGAAUAUACAGCUGCUGUUGAGGCAAAACAGGUAGCUCAACAGGAAGCACAACGAGCAGCGUUUGUCGUUGAACGAGCCAAACAGGAGAAACAGCAAAAAAUUGUCCAAGCGGAGGGAGAAGCAGAAGCUGCAAAAAUGCUUGGUUUAGCUGUUGGGCAGAACCCUGGAUACUUGAAGCUGAGAAAAAUUCGGGCAGCACAGAGCAUAUCUCGAACGAUGGCAAAUUCACAAAAUCGUGUGUACUUGAGUGGUCACAGCCUCAUGCUCAAUAUUCAGGAUCCAACGUUCGAUGAUCUGUCUGAGAAAUUGAAAAGUAAUGGUACGUGGCCUGCUAGGUGGGAAAACUGGAAUGAAUCUACGCAGCAUGCGGUCAAAUCUUUGAACAUGAAUUCACCUCAGCCAGCUUUGAAAAAUGUCGAAAAGCCAUCGAUUGCCUCAACUACUCCCUUCGUCGACGAUCCUAUUUCCCUUAUUCUGGAAUCUGCAGAUGCGGGGGCUAAGCUUAUUGUUCCCUAAGCGGCGUUUUAGUUAGAAGAAUUUCGGAUCUCUGUCUAAAGUUCGUUCAAAGCUAAGGACUACCAUCCAAUGAACGAUACAUAGAUUCAUACCAAAGCUGGCAAAGAUUGUCCUGGGUAAAACUUGCGUACAUCAAUACUGUCACGCCUGUAUAAUGAAGUAAUUGUAAUAAAUGAACAGUUUUAGUUU